CUUUGUGUAAUACCCCGAACUUCACUUUAAACACUUACAUUGCCAUUACAUUUGCAUCUAAUUUUUCUCUUAUAAUGGUGCAUUGUGUCAUUGAAGUUUUAAGAUUUACAUGGUGUUAGUGUUCGACCUCCCAACCUAGGCGGUGAAUCUUACCUAUGGAAGAAAUUUUGGUUAAUCUAGAUGUUGGAUAUUGAUGUGGAAAUUAAUUGUGAUCUUGAAAGUGCCAAUCAUUAUCAGUAAAGUUACUCACUUUUAAUUCGGCUAAUCAUGGUUACCCUAAACCUUAACUAAGUCCAUAACUAAUUAUCUCUAUAAAUUAGGUUAGUAGUCACACUAAGAUAGAUACACUUGAUUUUGUAUUGCAAUGAUGGGUGUAAAACCAGAUUUUUUCCACAAAAACACCUCAUGCGUGAUGCUAUUGUCCUUUUAUACUCAAUUUCUUCAUUCCUAAGCAUUAUGUGGGACUCAAGCACCUUAAAGACUUUAUAUCUAUCCCUAUAUAAGAUAUUAACUCCUUCAAUUCAUCCCCAAUUGGUUCCAAGUGGAAAGAAAGCAAAAGAGCCAAAGAGAAAUAGAAAACAGAAAGCUGGAAAUGGCGGUUCGGGACAGCUGAGUUAGUUCACUAUUUUGAGGUUUGUCUUCAUUUUUUGAGGCUUCUUGAACUUCUGGACUUGAUUAUGAUCAUGUUGGGGUGUUUUGAUGAUUUAAUGAUGACAAAACAGGGAUAAUUGGUUGCAAGAACUUUAGCUAACGGAAUAUGGACCGAAAUUCAUUGUUUCUGGAUUUUAGUAAUACAACUUUGAAACUUAUGUUAUACCUUGAAAGGAACGUUAUAGGAAUGGGAAUAAUUUUUAAUAGGUUAGAAACUGAUUUGUGGCAUGAUAAGUAAUGGAAACCAGAGACAGUCCCAUUAAGCCACCUGAUUCAAUGUGCUAUAAAAAGGAGUUAAUUUGACACUGCAGACUCUUCACUUGUGAAAACUUUAGGGCAUCAUAACUUUUACAUACAUGUUAUAGAAGUGUGGUGAAAAUUUGGGAAUAAAUGGAUAUGGUUAAGAGUGUGAAAAGGGAUUGGAAAAAUAAUUGGACAGUAAUGGAAACCUACAAACAGGUUAUGUCCAUUUGCAGACUUAACUUAGUUUCAUCCUUUCUUUGUUAUUUCUUAGGCUUGUUAAAAAAAAAAAAAUGAUUAGAAGGAGUGCUAAGUUGUUGACAACAAUUAGACAACUUCGAAAUUCAUAAUUGAAUUCUCGAAUUAGUGAGAUUUACGGGACUAUUUUGCAAUGCGAUUUGUAACUUGAAAUGAUAAUGUUAUCUAAAUUAUUUUGGUAUGAAUGUCUAAUGUAGUACAGGAUUUUGUGUGUGUGAUAAUAUUAUCAAAUUGAGGAUAGUGUUUAACAUUUAAUGCUAAUAUAGGUGGCUUUCCAACUUUAAGUGAAAAGGAAAUGGAUCUAUACUCCAUAGAAAUGCAAGCACAAAAGGGCGAAAAGUAAGUAAAAAUCCAUUUACAACUACAAUGCAUGAACAUAGUAUUCAUGAAAUAUUCUUUAUUGAGUAUCGCAGUAACAUUUAUAUGAUCGGUAGGGUUGUUUUCUGGGCUGUUGUUUUGAUCAUAUAAUCUUUUGUAUUAUAUUUUGAGAAUCCUAUAUUGUAUAUACAUAUGGCUUUUGAAAUGGUAUGGCAGAUACUUCUCUUAUCCUCAAUGUAAAUAUGUUGGAAUUUGGUUAUAUAUUAUUUGUUUGUAAGAUACUAUAUAUGUACAUCAUAGGUGAUUAGGCAAGUAUUUAUAGGGAACUUAUUUUGAAGAUGCUUAUUGUGUCGACUUGAAUCCUUAACGAUUCGAGCGUCAGUGAACUAAAACUAAUUUAAAGAAUAUUCAACAUAAUCAUAUAAAUUAUUAAAGCACUUACCAAAAUUCAAAUAAUGUAAUGAAUUUAAUAAAUUAACUUGAAAUGAGAAAUAUCUUAAAACGUUUAAAAUCAAAUGAAAUAAUAGUUUGACAACGUAAUAAUUUAUUAUUGAAAUUUUUGCCACUAUAAGCAAUCUCCGUGCCAACUGCCUUAAAUUGUUAAUUAUCUGAAAGUAGAAACAUAAUGGGGUGAGAAUAAUUCUCAAUAAGAGCGCGAGGAUAAUGAAUUCAUGUAUGUAUUUCUACGAAAAAUGCAUAAGUUGCAUAGGGAGACACGAAAGUUGGACCGAAAAUAACAUAACCAUAGAAAUAAUAUUACAUACAUAAACAUUAGUCACCAUAAACAUAAACAAGUGUUGGUUUUGUCUCCUAUUUAUAGUGAAGAUUCUUGGCCAUGUGUAGAAAAGUGAAAGAAAAUGACUAGAUGUUAGGCGUGGUCGAUGCUUCAAUAGUACAAAAUCCUGUACUACAUUAGACAUUCAUACCAAAAUAAUUUAGAUAACAUAAUCAAAUUGAGGAUAGUGUUUAAUAUUUAAUGGUAAUACAGGUGGCUUUCCAACUUUAAGUGAAAAGGAAAUGGAUCUAUACUCCAUAGAAAUGCAAGCACAAAAGGGCGAAAAGUAAGUAAAAAUCCAUUUACAACUACAAUGCAUGAGCAUAGUAUUCAUGAAAUAUUCUUUAUUGAGUAUCGCAGUAACAUUUAUAUGAUUGGUAGGGUUGUUUUCUGGGCUGUUGUUUUGAUCAUAUAAUGUGACGCCCCGAACUUAAGUUUCGAGUGUCAUGUACAAAAUACUCUUAAAUAGAAGUAUUACAUGUAAGAAACUUAUUUUCAACUUGGUAAAAUGUCUCUAAUAAAAUUUUAAUGGCCCGCAAAAGCGCAUGUCGACAAGAAAUUAUACUUUACAUAUACGGAUUCUGCACUACCACGGUUAAUUGGGGCAGCAAGUUCGACUAUUUUUAUAAAAUUCAUCCCAGCUCCGUUUUCUAUGAAAUUUAUGACAUUAGAAAGAUAUUUUCAAGUAGUUAUCUAGGUUAAAAUAUAAAAAGUUUCCAAGAUCAUAUAAUAUGGGCGUUUUACUGAAAACAGUGAGGUAUUGCACAGAAAUUUCAGAUUUGACCCUUCAACGUUUAAAAGUUCAUAUCUCAGGCUAUGGAUAUCCAAAUUGAGUGAUUCUUGUUCCCAUAUUAAGAAAACUCAAUGAGGAAUGUAGUAAUACAAUUUCUCCUCCUUCAAGAUUUUCAGUGCAAUCCUUAAAUAUUCCUCAUUCUCUUCUUCACUCAUUGAGUAAAUUAGUAUGUCAUCAAUAAAUACAAUGACAAAUCGGUCAAGAAAAUCAUUAAAAACACAGUUCAUCAAGUCCAUGAAUACUUCAAAAGCAUUCAGUCCCAAAAUCCGUCAUCGAGAUAUCAUCUAUCUUGAUUCUUAGUUGAUGGUAUCUUGAUCAUAAAUCAAUCUUGGAAAAUACGACUGCACCUCGAAGCUAGUCAAACAAGUCCUCGAUUCUUGGAAGAGGAUACUUGUUCUUAAUAAUGAUCUUGUUUAGUUCUCGAUGAUCAAUGCAUAUCCUCAUCAAUCCGUCUUUCUUUUUGACAAAAACAAUUGGAGCUCCCCAUGUGAUACAUUGAAUAAAUCCCUUCUCUAACAAUUCUUCUAUUCGUGCCUUUAAUUCUUGUAGUGCUUUUGGUGCCAUUUUCUGUAAAGGGCCUUAGAAAUAGGUGUAGCCUUGGGGGUGAGAUCAAUCAUAAAUUGUAAUACCCCAAACUUCACAUUAAACAUUUUGCCAAUAUGAUUGAUGCGUUUCAUGCUAUUUGCAAUGUCAUUUGCGUCAAUUAUCCUAAUUACUUUCUAUGAAAAUGGUGCAUUUAAAUUAUUGAGGUUUUAAGAUCUUUUAUAUGGUGUUAAUCUUUGACUCCUUGACCUAAGUGGAGAAUCUUACAUUGAGCGUGAUAGAAAAUUAUGUUAGUCUAUACAUUGGAUAUAGAUGUGUUAAAGAUGGUGAUCUUGAAAGUUUCGGAAUCAUUACCGGUAAAGUUCCUUGCUUUUAAUUCCGUUAAUCAUGGUUAUCCUAAAUGCUAACUAAGUCUUUAACAUAUUUGGGACAUGAGGAUGAAGUGACAUGGUCAAAAUACAAAAUUAUAAGGUCCAAUUGAUGUUAUAAAUGUUGAGGUGAAAAUUAUUGAAGGGGUAAGUAAUUAAAUAAACGGUUAAGGAAUUAGCUCUGCAAAAUAUAUUGGGAUCUUAGGGCAAGUAAAAUGGAUUGUAAACACAUUAAAAUAAGCCAAGGACACUUGAUUUGUACCUGCAAGGAUGGACACAAAAUCAGAUUUUUACUACAAAGGACCACCUCAUGCUUGGGAUAGUUGUCAUUUUAAUAUCCAAUCUCUUAAUCCUUAAGGUAUCCAGCACGUCUCCAAUAUAUAUAUAUAUAUAUAUAGGAUAAGAAAAAAGUGAAAUAUUGCUAGAAGAAGCGACCUCAUGCUUAACACUUGUUAACUUGGCUGCAUCCCAAAUUUUCUUAAUCCUUAAGCAAGAGCCCCCAACCGCUUUUAGACUCCAAUACACCUCCUAACAACAUGUUUAGCUUUUCAAGUUAUCCCCAAUUGAAAGAGAAAGCAAAAGUAACAAAGAGAAGCAGAAAGAUAUAUUGAGUGAAAGCAAAAGGAUCGAAAUUGUAUAGUUGCUGGAUUCUGUCUAUUCAACCUUUGAUGUUUGAUAAUACCUUGAAUAUAACUUGUAUUUAUUAAUUGGAAUGUUUCUAUAUAUGAGUUAUAAGUAUAUAAAUGAUCUUUUAAUAGGAGAGAACCUGAGUUAUGUACGUUAAUCGAAACUCAAAAUAGCCAUAAAAAAAUUUCUUGAUUUAGUAUUCGGUAAAAGGGAUUGAUUUUCAGGCUGUAAAUCGAUUACUUGCGAUGAAUUAAUGAUAUGAUUACCUGCACUUAAAUGUUAUGUAAGUGUCGUAAAAUUUUGGGAAUUGAUUGAUGUGAUUAAGGACACAAAAAGGAGGUUGAAAAGAGAACCGGGAAGAAAUAGAAAUUGGAAAAAACAACUUUUGUCCUUUUCUGACUUAUAUAGUUCUACCUUCACAUGAUCAGUAAAUGCUUCUAAAUCUUGAGAAAAAAAAUUGAUUUGAAUGAGUGUUAGGACGUUAAUGAUCCAAUUAAAUGAUGUUUAUACUCGUAGAACUGGAAAGUAACGAGAAUUAUAUGGCUGGAUACUUGUAGUAUUAAUCUAGAAUAUGUUGGCAUCUAAACUCUUAGUAAAAUUGUGUGUUGGGGUUAUGGAAUUAGGGAUCGUGUUUAAUAUUAGAUGGUAAUACAUGUUGCCUUCAGACAUUAGGGGAGAAGAUCACACGCAAAGGCAAAAAGUUAAGUAAAAAUCCAUACGCAACUACAAUGUAAGAACAUAGUAUUUAUGAGAUAAUAAUGUUGGGACAUUUUCAUCACUUUGAUAACAAGCUCAUUGCAUACCAUAUGAUGGUUAUAAUUAUUUAGUAUGUAGUUUCGGAACAUAUUGACAUCGAUGUCGAUUAAGCAUGUCAUUCACGAGCAUUUUCCUAAGCAUGCUCGUCAUAUGGCCAUGGUUGAAAAUCUAGCAUGCACAACAUGAUCUUAAAAUUGAGUUUUACCUCAUAAAUAAUUUGUUGACCACUACUAGGGCACCGAGGCGUGUGAGGCAUGCUUGUGCAAUAUAUUUUGGCAUAAUGGGUGAUACUUCCUAGGUGAUUACAAAGGCAGAUAGGGGAUGAGUCUUUGGUGAUCACGGGAGGGUGGACCACUCGACUCUGCCCUUAUGAUGUUAUGAUUAUUGGUACUGCCGGGUGGGAUGCUUUUUGGAUGAUCCUGGGUAGUUAGGGGAUGGGCCUCUAGUGGUUACAAGAGGGUGGUCCACUCGCAGUUGUCAAUUUUAUAUUAGCCAUUUGAUUAUUGAAUAUUCAUAUUGAUAUUGAUAUUAUGUAGAGCUUUAUCCGGUGCAUAGUUGGUGUGUCAAGGGUCCAACGAAAGAUUUCAAAUGAAGUUAUUUCGAGUUGAUUUUGAUGAAUAUUUGAAUAUGACGCAUCUUUAGCAUAAUGUUUAAAGUAAAUAGCAUCGUGUCAUAUAUUAUUGUUACUCAUACUCAUGAAAUAUAUAUUUUUGCUUACUAAGCAUUAGUUUAUGUAGUUCUUGCAACAUAGGUGAGUUUGGGACUUCAUAGAGGUCAAAUAUAGCUGAGGUGCUCUUAUGGGAUUCCAGAGUUCGAUGUACAUGGAUGAUGACCUGUAGGUUGUGUUGUGGGCUGUUCUUUCGGUCUUAUAAUGUGAUAUCUUGAACUUCAUGUGACACAUUUGGCCAAUAAUUCAGGCAUUUCAUGCUAUUUACAAUGUCAUUUACAUUAAUUUUUCCUAAUUGCUUUCUCUUAAAAUGGUGUAUUCGAUUAUUG
rnacentral:lncRNA from 1 species